CCUACGGGUGGCAGCAGUGAGGAAUAUUGGUCAAUGGACGAGAGCCUGAACCAGCCAAGUAGCGUGAAGGAUGACUGCUCUAUGGGUUGUAAACUUCUUUUAUAUGGGAAUAAAAUGUUCCACGUGUGGGAUUUUGUAUGUACCAUAUGAAUAAGGAUCGGCUAACUCCGUGCCAGCAGCCGCGGUAAUACGGAGGAUCCGAGCGUUAUCCGGAUUUAUUGGGUUUAAAGGGAGCGUAGGUGGAUUGUUAAGUCAGUUGUGAAAGUUUGCGGCUCAACCGUAAAAUUGCAGUUGAAACUGGCAGUCUUGAGUACAGUAGAGGUGGGCGGAAGUCGUGGUGUAGCGGUGAAAUGCUUAGAUAUCACGAAGAACUCCGAUUGCGAAGGCAGCUCACUGGACUGCAACUGACACUGAGGCUCGAAAGUGUGGGUAUCAAACAGGAUUAGAUACCCCUGUAGUC
rnacentral:rRNA from 1 species